rnacentral:rRNA from 1 species
GACGAACGCUGGCGGCGUGCUUAACACAUGCAAGUCGAGCGGUAAGGCCCUUUCGGGGGUACACGAGCGGCGAACGGGUGAGUAACACGUGGGUGACCUGCCCUCAGCUCUGGGAUAAGCCUGGGAAACUGGGUCUAAUACCGGAUAUGACUCCAUGACGCAUGUUGUGGGGCGGAAAGCCUUGUGCGGCUGAGGAUGGGCCCGCGGCCUAUCAGCUUGUUGGUGGGGUGAUGGCCUACCAAGGCGACGACGGUAGCCGGCCUGAGAGGCGACCGGCCACACUGGGACUGAGACACGGCCCAGACUCCUACGGGAGGCAGCAGUGGGGAAUCUUGCGCAAUGGGCGAAAGCCUGACGCAGCGACGCCGCGU